AUGGACCCACUGGUCAAGCGGGCUCGGCAAGGCCAGGAUGAAGAGAAGCUACGAACUUAGCAUUCCCAGAGCCCCCCGAGUGGAUAUCCGCGUGGAAAGGAUGUUGGCAGCCCCGGUGACCUCGGAGUCACGGCUGGAUCCACCCUCUUGUCUGAUUUUCUUAACUCUACUACGGUAAGAAGAUGCCCUCCAUCAGCAGGCCGUGUCUGCUGGGACCUCUCUGGAGACUUCCUGAACCCUGUGGAUUUACAGUAAGAUGCAGUUUCCUGGGGAGUAAUUCUGGUGGAUACAAAUUCCGGAGUAUUACACCUGGCUUGCCUGGAGAUGUUACAAGUAGCUGGAUGGAUUCUUCAGCCUGGAUGCCCACUGAAAACAAGGACCGAAACUAAGAGGAUUGUAUCUCUACCCUUGACUCAAUGAGAAUGUUUGUUGUCAUCUCUCGGGCUACCUGGAGCUCCCUCUAAAAUAGAGCCGAGUUCUGUCACCACAGACAUUGGCAGUGGCACUUGCAUGCCCCUGGCAAGCAGUCUAUCCUGAGGUGGAGGAAGUUGCCCUUGAGUUCUGGCUGGUAACCAGCACAGAUGUGAAGCGUUGACUUAAGAGAUGCCAAGUAACUCAGCAGAUGUCACACAGACGAUAAAUAGCAAAGAUGGAAGUCUUCAUGCCGGAGGCAAUCCUAUAAGACAGCUGAGUUCUGCAGAGCUGGUAGGAGACAGACUUGCUCAGGUGAUAGAUCCAGCCAUGAUACUGACCCUAAGAGAAUGAGACGCUCUGCAGAAGACAGAAGAUUCCUGAAACUGGGAAAGGUGCCUAGAAAUCCUGAUAAGAGUGAAGAAGGGUACCUGGAGGCACAGCAGCCAUGUUGAACCUAUGAGGUGAUGAAAAACCAUGCAACUAGAAACCAGAAUGGAAGAAAAGAAGAAGCUGGAUCCUUGACUGAAUUGUCGAUGGGGGAUAGUCCAUCAUCCCAGGGCUAAGACCACCUCCAGAUUUCUUGUUUGGUGAAACAAGUCCUGAUUGUUUACAUUCCCUCGUGUUGAGCUGUCUCUUGCUUGUAGCUGAAAGCAUUUCUAAUAGAUAUUCAGAUUAUCAGCCUUAGCUCCAAGCUAGAAUACUCUAUGGGACCUUAGCUUCUCCAUGAAUUCCUUUGCUCAUCUGUGUAAUGCUCAAUAAAUGUAAAUUGAACCCUGAAUGAGGGACAAUGA
rnacentral:lncRNA from 1 species